rnacentral:rRNA from 1 species
UUUAAUUCGAAGCAACGCGAAGAACCUUACCAAGUCUUGACAUCUGCGUGACCGGGAAGUAACUCUUUCCUUCGGGACAGGCAAGACAGGUGGUGCAUGGUUGUCGUCGGCUCGUGUCGUGAGAUGUUGGGUUAAGUCCCGCAACGAGCGCAACCCUUAUCCUUAGUAGCCAGCAUGUAAGGUGGGCACUCUAGGGAGACUGCCAGGGAGAACCUGGAGGAAGGUGGGGAUGACGUCAAAUCAUCAUGCCCCUUAUGAUUUGGGCUACACACGUGCUACAAUGGCGUAAACAAAGGGAAGCGAGAGGGUGACCUUAAGCGAAUCUCAAAAAUAACGUCUCAGUUCGGAUUGUAGUCUGCAACUCGACUACAUGAAGCUGGAAUCGCUAGUAAUCGCGAAUCAGCAUGUCG